UUAAGUGCUGGCUGGGAUCCUAAGGCGAGCUCAGGGAGGACGGAAACCUCCUGUGGAGCAGAAGGGCAAAAGCUCGCUUGAUCUUUAUUUUCAGUAUGAAUACAGACCUUGAAAGCGGGGCCUCACGAUCCUUCUGGCUUUUUGGGUUUUAAGCAGGCG
rnacentral:ncRNA from 1 species